GAUGAACGUUGGCGGCGUGCCUAAUACAUGCAAGUCGAGCGAACAGACGAGGAGCUUGCUCCUCUGACGUUAGCGGCGGACGGGUGAGUAACACGUGGAUAACCUACCUAUAAGACUGGGAUAACUUCGGGAAACCGGAGCUAAUACCGGAUAAUAUAUUGAACCGCAUGGUUCAAUAGUGAAAGACGGUUUUGCUGUCACUUAUAGAUGGAUCCGCGCUGCAUUAGCUAGUUGGUAAGGUAACGGCUUACCAAGGCAACGAUGCGUAGCCGACCUGAGAGGGUGAUCGGCCACACUGGAACUGAGACACGGUCCAGACUCCUACGGGAGGCAGCAGUAGGGAAUCUUCCGCAAUGGGCGAAAGCUUGACGGAGCAACGCCGCGUGAGUGAUGAAGGUCUUCGGAUCGUAAAGCUCUGUUAUUAGGGAAGAACAAAUGUGUAAGUAACUAUGCACGUCUUGACGGUACCUAAUCAGAAAGCCACGGCUAACUACGUG
rnacentral:rRNA from 1 species